rnacentral:rRNA from 1 species
UACGUAGGGUGCAAGCGUUAAUCGGAAUUACUGGGCGUAAAGCGUGCGCAGGCGGUCGUGCAAGACAGAUGUGAAAUCCCCGGGCUUAACCUGGGAACUGCAUUUGUGACUGCACGGCUGGAGUGCGGCAGAGGGGGAUGGAAUUCCGCGUGUAGCAGUGAAAUGCGUAGAUAUCUGGAGGAACACCGGUGGCGAAGGCGGCAUCCUGGACCGACACUGACGCUGAGGAGCGAAAGCCAGGGGAGCAAACGGG